rnacentral:lncRNA from 1 species
CAAUAACUUAGAUUUAUUUUCUCUCCACUAAACCUAAAGAAAAAUGGGGUUGUUCAACAUCUCAUUGUUACUCACUUGUCUCAUGGUAUUAGCCAUAUUUCACUCUUGUGAGGCCCAAAAUUCACCCCAAGACUAUCUUGCGGUUCAUAACGAUGCCCGUGCCCAAGUCGGAGUCGGGCCUAUGUCUUGGGAUGCCAACUUGGCAUCCCGAGCACAAAACUAUGCCAACUCAAGAGCUGGUGAUUGUAACUUGAUUCAUUCUGGUGCUGGGGAGAAUCUUGCCAAGGGUGGUGGUGACUUCACGGGGAGGGCAGCCGUGCAAUUGUGGGUGUCCGAGAGGCCAAGCUAUAACUACGCUACCAACCAAUGUGUUGGUGGAAAAAAGUGUAGACAUUAUACUCAAGUAGUCUGGCGCAACUCAGUCCGACUAGGUUGUGGUCGGGCACGUUGCAACAACGGAUGGUGGUUCAUUUCUUGCAACUAUGAUCCUGUAGGCAACUGGAUCGGACAACGUCCUUACUAAAAUGAUGUAUACUUAUGACAUGUUGCUAGUAUUAAAUAAAAUUCUCAUAUGAGACGUCGAGAAGUUAAAAUUUAAGUUUGACAUAUGAAUCAAGUCAAACUCCUAUCUAAAAUAUUAAGGGAUUAAAUAUUGAACAUCUAUAAUUAUUAUUAUUUCCCUUUUGAUGUUGCUAAUAUGAAUAAUUCCACAUACCAUAUGUUCAUAAUGGGCUUAAGUUGAUUAUUAAGUACUGCAUCUUCUUGUUUCCAUAAAACAUUAAUAUACAUAAAAUUUUAAUUAAGCAUGGCAUAUAUUAAUUAGGCACAUCAAGCACUUAUCUAAACACGUAACUAUUUAUUCAUAAAUUCAGUUUCAACCAUUCAAAAUAUUUGUUCUAUUUUAAGUGCCCAUCAAAAAAAAAUUCAAUCAUUACCCAAUUUUUUUUCAAUGACUAACAAAUACUCAAGUCUUCCAUAUUCUCUCAUACAAUAAUGGCCUAAAACUAUAUUUUCAUAAAAUAUUUUAUAGGUGAAAAUUGAAUUUCAUCCUUUCUUGACCUAUUGUCUUAGAUUUGAAUACCAGAAAUAAAAACAAAUAUUGCUAUUUAUUGAAAAAAUUUACGUAGCAUGAAAUUAAAUAAAUUGGCACAUAUUUAAAAUAUCUCGUCAGGAAAAAAAAAUUGUACCCCUAACAAACGUUUAAAUUUAAUAAUUUUCACAAAUGUUACUAAAUUUAACAAUGAGAGUUUGAUAAAUAUCUAAUCGUGAACAGAAAGUGUUCACUUUCGAAAAACAAAGAGGACCAAAAGUGAUCUAUUUUGACAAAUUUAAGGAUCAAAAUUGAUCCAAUCAUACAUUAGGGACUAUUUUGAAUCUACUAUAAAAAUGAUAAGGAACCAUUUUUUUGUUUUUUCAUUUUCUCUAUUAAGUUUCUUUGAAUUUUCUUCACACAUGCUAAACAAAAUUCCACAUAUUUACUUAUAUAUAUACUAUACUUAUCUCACAUUCAUAAUCACAAUAAUUUAGAUUUCUUUUCUCUCUACUACUCCUAUAGCAAAAUGGGGUUGUUUAACAUCUCAUUUUUGCUCAUUAGUCUCAUGGUAUUAACCAUAUUUCACACUUGUGAUUCCCAAAAUUCACCCCAAGACUAUUUUGCGGUUCACAACGAUGCCUGCGCCCAAGUUGGAGUUGGGCCAAUGUCUUAGGAUGCUUCACAACGAUGCCCGCGCCCAAGUUGGAAUUGGGCCAAUGUCUUAGGAUGCUGGCUUGGCAUCUCGAGCACAAAAUUAUGCCAACUCAAGAGCUGGUAAUUGCAACUUGAUUCAUUCUGGUGCAUGGGAGAACCUUGCCAAGACCGGUGGUAAUUUCACGGGGAGGGCCGCCGUGCAAUUGUGGGUAUCGAAAAAGCUAAACUACAACUACGGUACCCACCAAUGUGCUAGCGGGCAAAUGUGCGGACAUUAUACUCAAGUAGUUGGCGCAACUCAGUCCGACUAGGUUGUGGUCGGGUUCGUUGUAACAACGGGUGGUGGUUCAUUUCUUGCAACUAUGAUCAUGUAGGCAACUGGGCCGGAAAACGUCCUUAUUAAGGUGUCGUUUAUUUAUGACAUAUUGCUAGUAUUAAAUAAAAUUUUUAUAUUACAUGUCAAGGAGUUAAAAUUUAAAUCUGGCAAGUGGAUCGGAUCGAUCUCCUAUAUAUCCAAGAUGUUAAGGGAUCAAAUAUAUAAUUAUUGUUUUGAUUUCCCUUUGAUAUUGCUAGUAUGAAUAAUUCCACGUAUCAUAUGUUCAUGGUAUCGUGCUUAGGUUCUUUACUUUUUCAAAAUUAUGAAAUUUAUAUAUUAAAAAAUUAAGUGGAGUAAUUAAUUGGGAAAACUACAUAGAUAGAUCCAAUUAUGAAAAUUUAUCUAAUUUGGACUUUAUUCAAACUUUUUAUCUUUAAUGGAUCUAUGCCACAAACAAUUUAUCCGUUUAUCCACUUUCUCCUUUCUUAUUUCACGUAUGAUAUCAGAAUAACGUUAGCAUAACUAUUAUGAAUUUAUCUUUUGUGAUAUAUCUUGUCAGUAUCAUAUAGGAUUUAACUCUUUUUUUAAAAAUAAUUAAGAAAAAAUUAUUAAAGUCACAAUAUUAUUUACUAAACUCUACAUUAGAAGAAAUUAUAUUUUUUAAAUUAGAAUAGAGUUACCCUCAAUGAUACCAUGAUACUAUGUAGAUAUACUGCAAUUGUAUCAUGGACGAUUAAAUAUUCUCAUCGAAGGACUAAAGCGAACCAUAAUGAAAACAUUGUUCAAUUACUCAUUAAUACCAUCCGAGUAUAUUAUACUUGAUCAUAUCAAAGAGGAAGAAACAGUUCUUCAAUGAAGACAUUGUUUAAUGACACUUUUAUACCAUCAGAGUAUAUUAAUAUAUGACUGUAUUAUAUUGUGAUGAUAUAGUAUAUAAUUGUAUUUGAUUUUCAAAAUCACAGUGUAGUUUUGACGGACUCAAACUAGCAAGUCUUUUCCAAAACAAACAAGUAAUUCCAAACAAUUUGUAUUAUAUUUUAAUACGAACACAGUCAAAUAAAAAAAGAGAUAAGUGUCAUAAAUACACCUAAACUAUACAUUUUUUUGAGUUUUUUAAAAUAUUGAAAGUUUCAUUACCUAACCUAUCACUUUUUAGUUUGAGAAACACACCUCUCUCUUUUAUACCACUUUCAUCAUGAUAUGUGUAAUACACACUCUCUCUCUUUUAUUUUAAAGAAUUUUCACAUCACACUCCACAUGGACAAAAUAUUCAAUCUUGACAAAAAAUAAAUAAAUUAUUAGUAUUAGUUAAAAUUAAAAAUUAAGAAACUAUUAUAAAAAAUAAUAUUUUCUUUAUAAAAGAAAAUGUAAAAUAUUUUUCUUAUCCCGCGCUGUUUCUUAAAGUUUUUUAUUUUGUUUAAAUUUCUUUUAUAAAAGUAUUUCAUUUUUUACUUCAUCUCCUCCCCUUCAUCAAAUACUAAUUUAAGUAUUAUUGUAUUUGCUUAAAAAUAUAAUUCUACCCAUCUCACUUAAUCCUCAGCUUUCAGUUUUUUCCCCAGUGUUUAGGUAUAUAUAUAUCGAAAAUAUUUUUACUUGUUGUCAUAAGACUUUUUAUUUUUUUUAGUUGUUUAUGUUAUAUUCGGUACACUAGUAGAAUUUUUUUCUCUAAAAAUAUAUGUACGUGCAUAUCUAACACAAAAUAAGAAAAACGUAAAAAAAAAAAUUAGAAGCGAAAAAUUUAAUAGGAUGUGAUAGAUUUUCUAAAAAUAAAUAAGUAUCAAUUUCUAUCCGGGGGGGGGGGGGUGUGGAGGGGAGGGGGUGGAUGAAAUAUGAAAUUUUUAAGAAUAUUUUAUAAAUAAUUUUUUUUAAAAAAAAGGAUGGGGAUGUCGCGGGGGAGGGAGGGGGGUACGUAAAGAAGGUGGUGGAGUGAGAUAAGAAAAAUAAUUUAAUUUUUUAUGUGCAUAGUAAUCUUUAAUUUUUAAUUAAUAUUAAUUUUUUACUGUUUAAUUUUUAUCUAGAUAAAAUAUUUUAUCUAUGUGGAAUGUCAUGUGUCAAAGUUUUUUAAUAUAAAAGAGAGAGUACACUAUACACACCACUGAGAUGUGUUUCUCAAACUAAAACGGGAUAGUUUAAAUAUGAAACUCACACUUUCGAUAGUUUAGAUAUGAAACUAAAAAAUAAAUAAUUUAAAUUUGUUUUUGAUUCUUCUCUGUAAAAUAAAUAUAUAUAUAUAUAUAUAUAUAUAUAUAUAUAUAUAUUAUCACCGAACAAAGGGAAAAUCAAAACUCUAAUAUAUUAUCAUUCACCGAAUCAAAAUCAGUGAAUUAAAAACUAUAUAAAAAUCCAUAAAUAAUUAUGUGAUGGAAUAGGAAUUCUACACACCAUAGUGAUUACCGUUGAACAUCUUUCGCCAAAAAAUUAUAUUUUAUAUAUAUACACGCUAGAAAUUACUUAAUGUGCGUAGAUAUAAUUAAACAUAUCAAACUAUUUAUGCUAUAUUUAAUACUUAUUUAAAUCGUAACUAUUUAUUCUAAAUUCAGCUCUAACACUUUUUAAAAAGUUUUUAAAAUUUUCUUUCGAAGCUACAAGGAUUGAGGCAGUUUCUAAUUUCCACAUAAAGGACCAAAAAAUUGUUUUGGUUUAAGUGUCUAUCACUUCCAUUGUUUGUUGUUUUCAUUAUAUCCAAAUUGCUUUCAAUGACUAACAAAUACUUGAGUCUUCUCUCUCUCAUAGAAUAACUUUCUUCCAAUAAAUCCACGUAAGGGCGGCUCAAUAAGUGUUGUUUAAUAUUAUCUAAAUAAUAGAGUAAAGUAUGAUUAUUCUUUAAAGCAUAUAGUAUUUCCUUAAUCACACGACAUGCAAUCUCCUUUGAAUUUUCUUCACAUGUGAAAUAAAAUUCCACAAAGUUUAAAUUUAACAAUUUUCACAAAUUUGAUUAAAUUGAACAAUCAAAGUUUGAUAAAUAUCUUAUCGAAACCAAAAGUGUUCACUUUUGAAAAAUAUAAAGGACCAAAAAAGAUCACUUUUGACAAUCUUAAGGACCAAAAUUGCUCUUAUCAUACAUAAGGGAGUCUAUUGAAACUACUAAAAAGAUAAGGAAGCCUUUUUGUCAUUUCUCUAUAAUUUCCUUUGAAUUUUCUUCAUACAUGCUAAACAAAAUUACACAAUGUUUAAUUAUAUAUACACUAUUUAAAGGACCAAAAGUAAUUAAUUCUAAAAAGUUUUAAGGACCAAAAUCACUUAGCAAAAUACACAAGAGACUAUUUUGAACUUACUAUCAAAGAUAAGAGACCAUUUUUAUCAUUUCCUCUACUAAUAAUUUCCUUUGAAUUUUCUUCACACAUACUUAGCAAAAUUCCACAAUUUUUACUUAUAAAUACACUACUUAUCUCACGUUUAUAAUCACAAUAACUUAGAUUUAUUUUCUCUCCACUAAACCUAAAGAAAAAUGGGGUUGUUCAACAUCUCAUUGUUACUCACUUGUCUCAUGGUAUUAGCCAUAUUUCACUCUUGUGAGGCCCAAAAUUCACCCCAAGACUAUCUUGCGGUUCAUAACGAUGCCCGUGCCCAAGUCGGAGUCGGGCCUAUGUCUUGGGAUGCCAACUUGGCAUCCCGAGCACAAAACUAUGCCAACUCAAGAGCUGGUGAUUGUAACUUGAUUCAUUCUGGUGCUGGGGAGAAUCUUGCCAAGGGUGGUGGUGACUUCACGGGGAGGGCAGCCGUGCAAUUGUGGGUGUCCGAGAGGCCAAGCUAUAACUACGCUACCAACCAAUGUGUUGGUGGAAAAAAGUGUAGACAUUAUACUCAAGUAGUCUGGCGCAACUCAGUCCGACUAGGUUGUGGUCGGGCACGUUGCAACAACGGAUGGUGGUUCAUUUCUUGCAACUAUGAUCCUGUAGGCAACUGGAUCGGACAACGUCCUUACUAAAAUGAUGUAUACUUAUGACAUGUUGCUAGUAUUAAAUAAAAUUCUCAUAUGAGACGUCGAGAAGUUAAAAUUUAAGUUUGACAUAUGAAUCAAGUCAAACUCCUAUCUAAAAUAUUAAGGGAUUAAAUAUUGAACAUCUAUAAUUAUUAUUAUUUCCCUUUUGAUGUUGCUAAUAUGAAUAAUUCCACAUACCAUAUGUUCAUAAUGGGCUUAAGUUGAUUAUUAAGUACUGCAUCUUCUUGUUUCCAUAAAACAUUAAUAUACAUAAAAUUUUAAUUAAGCAUGGCAUAUAUUAAUUAGGCACAUCAAGCACUUAUCUAAACACGUAACUAUUUAUUCAUAAAUUCAGUUUCAACCAUUCAAAAUAUUUGUUCUAUUUUAAGUGCCCAUCAAAAAAAAAUUCAAUCAUUACCCAAUUUUUUUUCAAUGACUAACAAAUACUCAAGUCUUCCAUAUUCUCUCAUACAAUAAUGGCCUAAAACUAUAUUUUCAUAAAAUAUUUUAUAGGUGAAAAUUGAAUUUCAUCCUUUCUUGACCUAUUGUCUUAGAUUUGAAUACCAGAAAUAAAAACAAAUAUUGCUAUUUAUUGAAAAAAUUUACGUAGCAUGAAAUUAAAUAAAUUGGCACAUAUUUAAAAUAUCUCGUCAGGAAAAAAAAAUUGUACCCCUAACAAACGUUUAAAUUUAAUAAUUUUCACAAAUGUUACUAAAUUUAACAAUGAGAGUUUGAUAAAUAUCUAAUCGUGAACAGAAAGUGUUCACUUUCGAAAAACAAAGAGGACCAAAAGUGAUCUAUUUUGACAAAUUUAAGGAUCAAAAUUGAUCCAAUCAUACAUUAGGGACUAUUUUGAAUCUACUAUAAAAAUGAUAAGGAACCAUUUUUUUGUUUUUUCAUUUUCUCUAUUAAGUUUCUUUGAAUUUUCUUCACACAUGCUAAACAAAAUUCCACAUAUUUACUUAUAUAUAUACUAUACUUAUCUCACAUUCAUAAUCACAAUAAUUUAGAUUUCUUUUCUCUCUACUACUCCUAUAGCAAAAUGGGGUUGUUUAACAUCUCAUUUUUGCUCAUUAGUCUCAUGGUAUUAACCAUAUUUCACACUUGUGAUUCCCAAAAUUCACCCCAAGACUAUUUUGCGGUUCACAACGAUGCCUGCGCCCAAGUUGGAGUUGGGCCAAUGUCUUAGGAUGCUUCACAACGAUGCCCGCGCCCAAGUUGGAAUUGGGCCAAUGUCUUAGGAUGCUGGCUUGGCAUCUCGAGCACAAAAUUAUGCCAACUCAAGAGCUGGUAAUUGCAACUUGAUUCAUUCUGGUGCAUGGGAGAACCUUGCCAAGACCGGUGGUAAUUUCACGGGGAGGGCCGCCGUGCAAUUGUGGGUAUCGAAAAAGCUAAACUACAACUACGGUACCCACCAAUGUGCUAGCGGGCAAAUGUGCGGACAUUAUACUCAAGUAGUUGGCGCAACUCAGUCCGACUAGGUUGUGGUCGGGUUCGUUGUAACAACGGGUGGUGGUUCAUUUCUUGCAACUAUGAUCAUGUAGGCAACUGGGCCGGAAAACGUCCUUAUUAAGGUGUCGUUUAUUUAUGACAUAUUGCUAGUAUUAAAUAAAAUUUUUAUAUUACAUGUCAAGGAGUUAAAAUUUAAAUCUGGCAAGUGGAUCGGAUCGAUCUCCUAUAUAUCCAAGAUGUUAAGGGAUCAAAUAUAUAAUUAUUGUUUUGAUUUCCCUUUGAUAUUGCUAGUAUGAAUAAUUCCACGUAUCAUAUGUUCAUGGUAUCGUGCUUAGGUUCUUUACUUUUUCAAAAUUAUGAAAUUUAUAUAUUAAAAAAUUAAGUGGAGUAAUUAAUUGGGAAAACUACAUAGAUAGAUCCAAUUAUGAAAAUUUAUCUAAUUUGGACUUUAUUCAAACUUUUUAUCUUUAAUGGAUCUAUGCCACAAACAAUUUAUCCGUUUAUCCACUUUCUCCUUUCUUAUUUCACGUAUGAUAUCAGAAUAACGUUAGCAUAACUAUUAUGAAUUUAUCUUUUGUGAUAUAUCUUGUCAGUAUCAUAUAGGAUUUAACUCUUUUUUUAAAAAUAAUUAAGAAAAAAUUAUUAAAGUCACAAUAUUAUUUACUAAACUCUACAUUAGAAGAAAUUAUAUUUUUUAAAUUAGAAUAGAGUUACCCUCAAUGAUACCAUGAUACUAUGUAGAUAUACUGCAAUUGUAUCAUGGACGAUUAAAUAUUCUCAUCGAAGGACUAAAGCGAACCAUAAUGAAAACAUUGUUCAAUUACUCAUUAAUACCAUCCGAGUAUAUUAUACUUGAUCAUAUCAAAGAGGAAGAAACAGUUCUUCAAUGAAGACAUUGUUUAAUGACACUUUUAUACCAUCAGAGUAUAUUAAUAUAUGACUGUAUUAUAUUGUGAUGAUAUAGUAUAUAAUUGUAUUUGAUUUUCAAAAUCACAGUGUAGUUUUGACGGACUCAAACUAGCAAGUCUUUUCCAAAACAAACAAGUAAUUCCAAACAAUUUGUAUUAUAUUUUAAUACGAACACAGUCAAAUAAAAAAAGAGAUAAGUGUCAUAAAUACACCUAAACUAUACAUUUUUUUGAGUUUUUUAAAAUAUUGAAAGUUUCAUUACCUAACCUAUCACUUUUUAGUUUGAGAAACACACCUCUCUCUUUUAUACCACUUUCAUCAUGAUAUGUGUAAUACACACUCUCUCUCUUUUAUUUUAAAGAAUUUUCACAUCACACUCCACAUGGACAAAAUAUUCAAUCUUGACAAAAAAUAAAUAAAUUAUUAGUAUUAGUUAAAAUUAAAAAUUAAGAAACUAUUAUAAAAAAUAAUAUUUUCUUUAUAAAAGAAAAUGUAAAAUAUUUUUCUUAUCCCGCGCUGUUUCUUAAAGUUUUUUAUUUUGUUUAAAUUUCUUUUAUAAAAGUAUUUCAUUUUUUACUUCAUCUCCUCCCCUUCAUCAAAUACUAAUUUAAGUAUUAUUGUAUUUGCUUAAAAAUAUAAUUCUACCCAUCUCACUUAAUCCUCAGCUUUCAGUUUUUUCCCCAGUGUUUAGGUAUAUAUAUAUCGAAAAUAUUUUUACUUGUUGUCAUAAGACUUUUUAUUUUUUUUAGUUGUUUAUGUUAUAUUCGGUACACUAGUAGAAUUUUUUUCUCUAAAAAUAUAUGUACGUGCAUAUCUAACACAAAAUAAGAAAAACGUAAAAAAAAAAAUUAGAAGCGAAAAAUUUAAUAGGAUGUGAUAGAUUUUCUAAAAAUAAAUAAGUAUCAAUUUCUAUCCGGGGGGGGGGGGGGUGUGGAGGGGAGGGGGUGGAUGAAAUAUGAAAUUUUUAAGAAUAUUUUAUAAAUAAUUUUUUUUUAAAAAAAAGGAUGGGGAUGUCGCGGGGGAGGGAGGGGGGUACGUAAAGAAGGUGGUGGAGUGAGAUAAGAAAAAUAAUUUAAUUUUUUAUGUGCAUAGUAAUCUUUAAUUUUUAAUUAAUAUUAAUUUUUUACUGUUUAAUUUUUAUCUAGAUAAAAUAUUUUAUCUAUGUGGAAUGUCAUGUGUCAAAGUUUUUUAAUAUAAAAGAGAGAGUACACUAUACACACCACUGAGAUGUGUUUCUCAAACUAAAACGGGAUAGUUUAAAUAUGAAACUCACACUUUCGAUAGUUUAGAUAUGAAACUAAAAAAUAAAUAAUUUAAAUUUGUUUUUGAUUCUUCUCUGUAAAAUAAAAUAAAUAUAUAUAUAUAUAUAUAUAUAUAUAUAUAUAUAUAUUAUCACCGAACAAAGGGAAAAUCAAAACUCUAAUAUAUUAUCAUUCACCGAAUCAAAAUCAGUGAAUUAAAAACUAUAUAAAAAUCCAUAAAUAAUUAUGUGAUGGAAUAGGAAUUCUACACACCAUAGUGAUUACCGUUGAACAUCUUUCGCCAAAAAAUUAUAUUUUAUAUAUAUACACGCUAGAAAUUACUUAAUGUGCGUAGAUAUAAUUAAACAUAUCAAACUAUUUAUGCUAUAUUUAAUACUUAUUUAAAUCGUAACUAUUUAUUCUAAAUUCAGCUCUAACACUUUUUAAAAAGUUUUUAAAAUUUUCUUUCGAAGCUACAAGGAUUGAGGCAGUUUCUAAUUUCCACAUAAAGGACCAAAAAAUUGUUUUGGUUUAAGUGUCUAUCACUUCCAUUGUUUGUUGUUUUCAUUAUAUCCAAAUUGCUUUCAAUGACUAACAAAUACUUGAGUCUUCUCUCUCUCAUAGAAUAACUUUCUUCCAAUAAAUCCACGUAAGGGCGGCUCAAUAAGUGUUGUUUAAUAUUAUCUAAAUAAUAGAGUAAAGUAUGAUUAUUCUUUAAAGCAUAUAGUAUUUCCUUAAUCACACGACAUGCAAUCUCCUUUGAAUUUUCUUCACAUGUGAAAUAAAAUUCCACAAAGUUUAAAUUUAACAAUUUUCACAAAUUUGAUUAAAUUGAACAAUCAAAGUUUGAUAAAUAUCUUAUCGAAACCAAAAGUGUUCACUUUUGAAAAAUAUAAAGGACCAAAAAAGAUCACUUUUGACAAUCUUAAGGACCAAAAUUGCUCUUAUCAUACAUAAGGGAGUCUAUUGAAACUACUAAAAAGAUAAGGAAGCCUUUUUGUCAUUUCUCUAUAAUUUCCUUUGAAUUUUCUUCAUACAUGCUAAACAAAAUUACACAAUGUUUAAUUAUAUAUACACUAUUUAAAGGACCAAAAGUAAUUAAUUCUAAAAAGUUUUAAGGACCAAAAUCACUUAGCAAAAUACACAAGAGACUAUUUUGAACUUACUAUCAAAGAUAAGAGACCAUUUUUAUCAUUUCCUCUACUAAUAAUUUCCUUUGAAUUUUCUUCACACAUACUUAGCAAAAUUCCACAAUUUUUACUUAUAAAUACACUACUUAUCUCACGUUUAUAAUCACAAUAACUUAGAUUUAUUUUCUCUCCACUAAACCUAAAGAAAAAUGGGGUUGUUCAACAUCUCAUUGUUACUCACUUGUCUCAUGGUAUUAGCCAUAUUUCACUCUUGUGAGGCCCAAAAUUCACCCCAAGACUAUCUUGCGGUUCAUAACGAUGCCCGUGCCCAAGUCGGAGUCGGGCCUAUGUCUUGGGAUGCCAACUUGGCAUCCCGAGCACAAAACUAUGCCAACUCAAGAGCUGGUGAUUGUAACUUGAUUCAUUCUGGUGCUGGGGAGAAUCUUGCCAAGGGUGGUGGUGACUUCACGGGGAGGGCAGCCGUGCAAUUGUGGGUGUCCGAGAGGCCAAGCUAUAACUACGCUACCAACCAAUGUGUUGGUGGAAAAAAGUGUAGACAUUAUACUCAAGUAGUCUGGCGCAACUCAGUCCGACUAGGUUGUGGUCGGGCACGUUGCAACAACGGAUGGUGGUUCAUUUCUUGCAACUAUGAUCCUGUAGGCAACUGGAUCGGACAACGUCCUUACUAAAAUGAUGUAUACUUAUGACAUGUUGCUAGUAUUAAAUAAAAUUCUCAUAUGAGACGUCGAGAAGUUAAAAUUUAAGUUUGACAUAUGAAUCAAGUCAAACUCCUAUCUAAAAUAUUAAGGGAUUAAAUAUUGAACAUCUAUAAUUAUUAUUAUUUCCCUUUUGAUGUUGCUAAUAUGAAUAAUUCCACAUACCAUAUGUUCAUAAUGGGCUUAAGUUGAUUAUUAAGUACUGCAUCUUCUUGUUUCCAUAAAACAUUAAUAUACAUAAAAUUUUAAUUAAGCAUGGCAUAUAUUAAUUAGGCACAUCAAGCACUUAUCUAAACACGUAACUAUUUAUUCAUAAAUUCAGUUUCAACCAUUCAAAAUAUUUGUUCUAUUUUAAGUGCCCAUCAAAAAAAAAUUCAAUCAUUACCCAAUUUUUUUUCAAUGACUAACAAAUACUCAAGUCUUCCAUAUUCUCUCAUACAAUAAUGGCCUAAAACUAUAUUUUCAUAAAAUAUUUUAUAGGUGAAAAUUGAAUUUCAUCCUUUCUUGACCUAUUGUCUUAGAUUUGAAUACCAGAAAUAAAAACAAAUAUUGCUAUUUAUUGAAAAAAUUUACGUAGCAUGAAAUUAAAUAAAUUGGCACAUAUUUAAAAUAUCUCGUCAGGAAAAAAAAAUUGUACCCCUAACAAACGUUUAAAUUUAAUAAUUUUCACAAAUGUUACUAAAUUUAACAAUGAGAGUUUGAUAAAUAUCUAAUCGUGAACAGAAAGUGUUCACUUUCGAAAAACAAAGAGGACCAAAAGUGAUCUAUUUUGACAAAUUUAAGGAUCAAAAUUGAUCCAAUCAUACAUUAGGGACUAUUUUGAAUCUACUAUAAAAAUGAUAAGGAACCAUUUUUUUGUUUUUUCAUUUUCUCUAUUAAGUUUCUUUGAAUUUUCUUCACACAUGCUAAACAAAAUUCCACAUAUUUACUUAUAUAUAUACUAUACUUAUCUCACAUUCAUAAUCACAAUAAUUUAGAUUUCUUUUCUCUCUACUACUCCUAUAGCAAAAUGGGGUUGUUUAACAUCUCAUUUUUGCUCAUUAGUCUCAUGGUAUUAACCAUAUUUCACACUUGUGAUUCCCAAAAUUCACCCCAAGACUAUUUUGCGGUUCACAACGAUGCCUGCGCCCAAGUUGGAGUUGGGCCAAUGUCUUAGGAUGCUUCACAACGAUGCCCGCGCCCAAGUUGGAAUUGGGCCAAUGUCUUAGGAUGCUGGCUUGGCAUCUCGAGCACAAAAUUAUGCCAACUCAAGAGCUGGUAAUUGCAACUUGAUUCAUUCUGGUGCAUGGGAGAACCUUGCCAAGACCGGUGGUAAUUUCACGGGGAGGGCCGCCGUGCAAUUGUGGGUAUCGAAAAAGCUAAACUACAACUACGGUACCCACCAAUGUGCUAGCGGGCAAAUGUGCGGACAUUAUACUCAAGUAGUUGGCGCAACUCAGUCCGACUAGGUUGUGGUCGGGUUCGUUGUAACAACGGGUGGUGGUUCAUUUCUUGCAACUAUGAUCAUGUAGGCAACUGGGCCGGAAAACGUCCUUAUUAAGGUGUCGUUUAUUUAUGACAUAUUGCUAGUAUUAAAUAAAAUUUUUAUAUUACAUGUCAAGGAGUUAAAAUUUAAAUCUGGCAAGUGGAUCGGAUCGAUCUCCUAUAUAUCCAAGAUGUUAAGGGAUCAAAUAUAUAAUUAUUGUUUUGAUUUCCCUUUGAUAUUGCUAGUAUGAAUAAUUCCACGUAUCAUAUGUUCAUGGUAUCGUGCUUAGGUUCUUUACUUUUUCAAAAUUAUGAAAUUUAUAUAUUAAAAAAUUAAGUGGAGUAAUUAAUUGGGAAAACUACAUAGAUAGAUCCAAUUAUGAAAAUUUAUCUAAUUUGGACUUUAUUCAAACUUUUUAUCUUUAAUGGAUCUAUGCCACAAACAAUUUAUCCGUUUAUCCACUUUCUCCUUUCUUAUUUCACGUAUGAUAUCAGAAUAACGUUAGCAUAACUAUUAUGAAUUUAUCUUUUGUGAUAUAUCUUGUCAGUAUCAUAUAGGAUUUAACUCUUUUUUUAAAAAUAAUUAAGAAAAAAUUAUUAAAGUCACAAUAUUAUUUACUAAACUCUACAUUAGAAGAAAUUAUAUUUUUUAAAUUAGAAUAGAGUUACCCUCAAUGAUACCAUGAUACUAUGUAGAUAUACUGCAAUUGUAUCAUGGACGAUUAAAUAUUCUCAUCGAAGGACUAAAGCGAACCAUAAUGAAAACAUUGUUCAAUUACUCAUUAAUACCAUCCGAGUAUAUUAUACUUGAUCAUAUCAAAGAGGAAGAAACAGUUCUUCAAUGAAGACAUUGUUUAAUGACACUUUUAUACCAUCAGAGUAUAUUAAUAUAUGACUGUAUUAUAUUGUGAUGAUAUAGUAUAUAAUUGUAUUUGAUUUUCAAAAUCACAGUGUAGUUUUGACGGACUCAAACUAGCAAGUCUUUUCCAAAACAAACAAGUAAUUCCAAACAAUUUGUAUUAUAUUUUAAUACGAACACAGUCAAAUAAAAAAAGAGAUAAGUGUCAUAAAUACACCUAAACUAUACAUUUUUUUGAGUUUUUUAAAAUAUUGAAAGUUUCAUUACCUAACCUAUCACUUUUUAGUUUGAGAAACACACCUCUCUCUUUUAUACCACUUUCAUCAUGAUAUGUGUAAUACACACUCUCUCUCUUUUAUUUUAAAGAAUUUUCACAUCACACUCCACAUGGACAAAAUAUUCAAUCUUGACAAAAAAUAAAUAAAUUAUUAGUAUUAGUUAAAAUUAAAAAUUAAGAAACUAUUAUAAAAAAUAAUAUUUUCUUUAUAAAAGAAAAUGUAAAAUAUUUUUCUUAUCCCGCGCUGUUUCUUAAAGUUUUUUAUUUUGUUUAAAUUUCUUUUAUAAAAGUAUUUCAUUUUUUACUUCAUCUCCUCCCCUUCAUCAAAUACUAAUUUAAGUAUUAUUGUAUUUGCUUAAAAAUAUAAUUCUACCCAUCUCACUUAAUCCUCAGCUUUCAGUUUUUUCCCCAGUGUUUAGGUAUAUAUAUAUCGAAAAUAUUUUUACUUGUUGUCAUAAGACUUUUUAUUUUUUUUAGUUGUUUAUGUUAUAUUCGGUACACUAGUAGAAUUUUUUUCUCUAAAAAUAUAUGUACGUGCAUAUCUAACACAAAAUAAGAAAAACGUAAAAAAAAAAAUUAGAAGCGAAAAAUUUAAUAGGAUGUGAUAGAUUUUCUAAAAAUAAAUAAGUAUCAAUUUCUAUCCGGGGGGGGGGGGGUGUGGAGGGGAGGGGGUGGAUGAAAUAUGAAAUUUUUAAGAAUAUUUUAUAAAUAAUUUUUUUUUAAAAAAAAGGAUGGGGAUGUCGCGGGGGAGGGAGGGGGGUACGUAAAGAAGGUGGUGGAGUGAGAUAAGAAAAAUAAUUUAAUUUUUUAUGUGCAUAGUAAUCUUUAAUUUUUAAUUAAUAUUAAUUUUUUACUGUUUAAUUUUUAUCUAGAUAAAAUAUUUUAUCUAUGUGGAAUGUCAUGUGUCAAAGUUUUUUAAUAUAAAAGAGAGAGUACACUAUACACACCACUGAGAUGUGUUUCUCAAACUAAAACGGGAUAGUUUAAAUAUGAAACUCACACUUUCGAUAGUUUAGAUAUGAAACUAAAAAAUAAAUAAUUUAAAUUUGUUUUUGAUUCUUCUCUGUAAAAUAAAAUAAUAUAUAUAUAUAUAUAUAUAUAUAUAUAUAUAUAUAUUAUCACCGAACAAAGGGAAAAUCAAAACUCUAAUAUAUUAUCAUUCACCGAAUCAAAAUCAGUGAAUUAAAAACUAUAUAAAAAUCCAUAAAUAAUUAUGUGAUGGAAUAGGAAUUCUACACACCAUAGUGAUUACCGUUGAACAUCUUUCGCCAAAAAAUUAUAUUUUAUAUAUAUACACGCUAGAAAUUACUUAAUGUGCGUAGAUAUAAUUAAACAUAUCAAACUAUUUAUGCUAUAUUUAAUACUUAUUUAAAUCGUAACUAUUUAUUCUAAAUUCAGCUCUAACACUUUUUAAAAAGUUUUUAAAAUUUUCUUUCGAAGCUACAAGGAUUGAGGCAGUUUCUAAUUUCCACAUAAAGGACCAAAAAAUUGUUUUGGUUUAAGUGUCUAUCACUUCCAUUGUUUGUUGUUUUCAUUAUAUCCAAAUUGCUUUCAAUGACUAACAAAUACUUGAGUCUUCUCUCUCUCAUAGAAUAACUUUCUUCCAAUAAAUCCACGUAAGGGCGGCUCAAUAAGUGUUGUUUAAUAUUAUCUAAAUAAUAGAGUAAAGUAUGAUUAUUCUUUAAAGCAUAUAGUAUUUCCUUAAUCACACGACAUGCAAUCUCCUUUGAAUUUUCUUCACAUGUGAAAUAAAAUUCCACAAAGUUUAAAUUUAACAAUUUUCACAAAUUUGAUUAAAUUGAACAAUCAAAGUUUGAUAAAUAUCUUAUCGAAACCAAAAGUGUUCACUUUUGAAAAAUAUAAAGGAGCAAAAAAGAUCACUUUUGACAAUCUUAAGGACCAAAAUUGCUCUUAUCAUACAUAAGGGAGUCUAUUGAAACUACUAAAAAGAUAAGGGACCCUUUUUGUCAUUUCUCUAUAAUUUCCUUUGGAUUUUCUUCAUACAUGCUAAACAAAAUUACACAAUGUUUAAUUAUAUAUACACUAUUUAAAGGACCAAAAGUAAUUAAUUUUAAAAAGUUUUAAGGACCAAAAUCACUUAGCAAAAUACACAAGAGACUAUUUUGAACUUACUAUCAAAGAUAAGAGACCAUUUUUAUCAUUUCCUCUACCAAUAAUUUCCUUUGAAUUUUCUUCACACAUACUUAGCAAAAUUCCACAAUUUUUACUUAUAAAUACACUACUUAUCUCACGUUUAUAAUCACAAUAACUUAGAUUUAUUUUCUCUCCACUAAACCUAAAGAAAAAUGGGGUUGUUCAACAUCUCAUUGUUACUCACUUGUCUCAUGGUAUUAGCCAUAUUUCACUCUUGUGAGGCCCAAAAUUCACCCCAAGACUAUCUUGCGGUUCACAACGAUGCCCGUGCCCAAGUCGGAGUCGGGCCAAUGUCUUGGGAUGCCAACUUGGCAUCCCGAGCACAAAACUAUGCCAACUCAAGAGCGGGUGAUUGUAAUUUGAUUCAUUCUGGUGCUGGGGAGAACCUUGCCAAGGGUGGUGGUGACUUCACGGGGAGGGCAGCCGUGCAAUUGUGGGUGUCCGAGAGGCCAGA